rnacentral:rRNA from 1 species
GUGGGAACUCAAGAGAGACUGCCGCGGACAACGCGGAGGAAGGCGGGGAUGACGUCAAGUCAUCAUGCCCCUUAUGUCCUGGGCUACACACGUACUACAAUGGGAUGGACAGAGAGCAGCGAAGCCGCGAGGCGAAGCGAACCCCAUAAACCAUCUCCCAGUUCGGAUUGCAGGCUGCAACCCGCCUGCAUGAAGUCGGAAUCGCUAGUAAUCGCAGGUCAGCAUACUGCGGUGAAUACGUUCCCGGGCCUUGUACACACCGCCCGUCACACCACGGAAGUCAUUCACACCCGAAGCCGGUGGGGUAACCGCAAGGGACCAGCCGUCUAAGGUGGGGGCGAUGACUGGGGUGAAGUCGUAACAAGGUAGCCGUAUCGGAAGGUGCGGCUGGAUCACCUCCUUUCUAAGGAA